GUGUGGAUAGUAUAAUAAGUAUGCCUUCUUUCCAAGUAGGUGGUCUCUUUUUAGAGUCUAUACA
rnacentral:tRNA from 1 species